rnacentral:misc_RNA from 1 species
AAAGAAGCCGAAAGGCUGCUUCAAACCAUUGCGAACCUAUCCAUCAGCGUUGCUUCGGCGGGAGAAGGCGCCCGGAUCGACCCCUCGCGGGGGGGAGAGUCCGGGGCGCUGGGGACCCUCGUCUCCGGACCUUUGGGGACCCGCCCGCCGGAGGUAUCAAACUCUUCUGUAAUCUCUGCGGCAUCUCUGAGCAGCAAGAAAACAAGUCA